GCGACUCGAAAUCUCGUCCAUAAAACAGGGCUCAGGCAUAUAGUGUAUGUAUAAGAGCGCUUGACUAGUCCGCGUAAAUCACGCGAGGCGAAGUGGAGCCCGUCAAGCCGGCGACGUCCCUCCUCUUCAGUCUCGCCGAGCUGUCACCCGCGUUAUUAUAUCAGCGUGCAACCGCCAUUCUCUCGUUAUAAGACCGGCCGCGGGGCUCGCAGCGGAAAAAUGUCGUGCCGAAAUAAUCAGGAAACCCCGACGAUCAGUUAAGAGGGAUGAAAUUUUCCUCGAUCUAUUUACACAGCGAUGUUUGCAAUGAAAAUAGCCGAGAGCGAGGAUGAGAGGAAGUGAUUUUUUCCUCUAAUCGAAACGAAGGGGGGAGAUUGACCUGAAGAGUUUCAACCCGUAUCAAGAAUCACCAUUAGAAAAUACCUUCACGCCGCUGCACACUGGGCCUACUGUCGUAUGUAUUUUAUACGUAGUCCUUAUUUCGAAUAGCCAUAAAACGACGAAACACUCUUUGGGUGAGAGCAAAAAAAAAAGAAGAAAAAAAAAGGACGUGGAGGGUAAAAAAAAAAGGGGGAUCAAGUGGCUGAUUUACGACCGAAAUAACACUCGGAAUUGUAACGGAUAUAGGUAUGUUUUUAAAAAAAU